GUGACGCGUAGUGGAAACAUCGCUCCUCAACUGAUCGGCUGAUUCACGCUUUGAAUAAAAAAUAUUGAAUAUCACAUGAUUAAACACAGCUCCAGAUACCUAAGUGGCCUGUUAAGAAUCGAAGUGGGAUGAAGAUAAUCUACCAGUUUUUUUAAAGCAAAAGUUCACUGAUGACAUUCAAUUAAAAAAAUGCCAUAUCAAUGUCGCAUCAUUCUUCGCCAGUCAUACUGCCAAUGAUGAAAGCUUAUGGGAUACAUGAAAGCUUCCUAAACCAAAUUUCACAUUCGCCUAUUUGACACCGAUGUUGUGCUCAGAAUAUUGCAACGAGCGACGUCUUCGGCCUGCGGACAAAAAAAGACUCGAGAGACUCCUGGGGAUGUCGACGGAGAGGGAACGGAAGAUGAGGAUUCUGGGGAGCUGGAGUCAGACUUGAGUGCUGAUGAUGAUGAUGAUGAUGCCACAGACGGAACUCCCAAUGAUGGAUACGAUGAUGAUGAUUUCCCAGAGUUUUUCCCAUGUCUCUAAAACGUAUCAAACUAUUCUUCAGUGGAAUUGAAGCUAUGAAUCCAAAGAUUAGUUAGCUCAUAACUAAUUAUUGAUAAGAAGUUUCUAUGUGAUCAAACAAAAACGAAUGUAUAGAUCCUAAGAUUAACAAUAAAAGUUUUUUUUUGUAAA